rnacentral:misc_RNA from 1 species
GAUGAAGAACGCAGCGAAAUGCGAUAAGUAAUGUGAAUUGCAGAAUUCAGUGAAUCAUCGAAUCUUUGAACGCACAUUGCGCCCGCCAGUAUUCUGGCGGGCAUGCCUGUUCGAGCGUCAUUACAACCCUCAGGCCCCCGGGCCUGGCGUUGGGGAUCGGCGGAAGCCCCCUGCGGGCACAACGCCGUCCCCCAAAUACAGUGGCGGUCACGCCGCAGCUUCCAUUGCGUAGUAGCUAACACCUCGCAACUGGAGAGCGGCGCGGCCACGCCGUAAAACACCCAACUUCUGAAUGUUGACCUCGAACCAGGUAGGAAUACCCGCUGAACUUAAGCAUAUCAAUAAGCGGAGGA